rnacentral:rRNA from 1 species
CUAACUGGAGGACCGAACCGACUAAUGUUGAAAAAUUAGCGGAUGACUUGUGGCUGGGGGUGAAAGGCCAAUCAAACCGGGAGAUAGCUGGUUCUCCCCGAAAGCUAUUUAGGUAGCGCCUCGUGAAUUCAUCUCCGGGGGUAGAGCACUGUUUCGGCAAGGGGGUCAUCCCGACUUACCAACCCGAUGCAAACUGCGAAUACCGGAGAAUGUUAUCACGGGAGACACACGGCGGGUGCUAACGUCCGUCGUGAAGAGGGAAACAACCCAGACCGCCAGCUAAGGUCCCAAAGUCAUGGUUAAGUGGGAAACGAUGUGGGAAGGCCCAGACAGCCAGGAUGUUGGCUUAGAAGCAGCCAUCAUUUAAAGAAAGCGUAAUAGCUCACUGGUCGAGUCGGCCUGCGCGGAAGAUGUAACGGGGCUAAACCAUGCACCGAAGCUGCGGCAGCGACGCUGAUGCGUUGUUGGGUAGGGGAGCGUUCUGUAAGCCUGUGAAGGUGUGCUGUGAGGCAUGCUGGAGGUAUCAGAAGUGCGAAUGCUGACAUAAGUAACGAUAAAGCGGGUGAAAAGCCCGCUCGCCGGAAGACCAAGGGUUCCUGUCCAACGUUAAUCGGGGCAGGGUGAGUCGACCCCUAAGGCGAGGCCGAAAGGCGUAGUCGAUGGGAAACAGGUUAAUAUUCCUGUACUUGGUGUUACUGCGAAGGGGGGACGGAGAAGGCUAUGUUGGCCGGGCGACGGUUGUCCCGGUUUAAGCGUGUAGGCUGGUUUUCCAGGCAAAUCCGGAAAAUCAAGGCUGAGGCGUGAUGACGAGGCACUACGGUGCUGAAGCAACAAAUGCCCUGCUUCCAGGAAAAGCCUCUAAGCAUCAGGUAACAUCAAAUCGUACCCCAAACCGACACAGGUGGUCAGGUAGAGAAUACCAAGGCGCUUGAGAGAACUCGGGUGAAGGAACUAGGCAAAAUGGUGCCGUAACUUCGGGAGAAGGCACGCUGAUAUGUAGGUGAAGUCCCUCGCGGAUGGAGCUGAAAUCAGUCGAAGAUACCAGCUGGCUGCAACUGUUUAUUAAAAACACAGCACUGUGCAAACACGAAAGUGGACGUAUACGGUGUGACGCCUGCCCGGUGC